rnacentral:lncRNA from 1 species
GAGGCAUGCCAGACGAGAUCAGAAUCUGCAAACUGUGAUGUGAGACUGAGAGUGUAAAAGAACCACACUUGGAUAUCCUCUCAAAUAUGCAUUCUAAGGCUGAUGUCAGUAAGAGACAGGGUCUCACUUUUUGAACUCCUAGCUUCAAGUAAUCCUCCCACCACAGCUUCCCAAAGUGGUGGGAUUACAGGCACGGGCCACCGCUCCCAGCUUAUAUAGACUCUUUUACCCCUAUAUGAUGUACAUUUAAUAUUGCCAACUUCUGAAAUGUAUACAAAUGGUAUCAUACUAGAUAUGCCCUAAUAUGAUUUGUUUUUUAUCAUUUAACAUUGUAUUUCUAAGAUUCAUCCAUGUUAUUGUACACUGUUCAUUUAUUUUCACAGUCAGAGUUCUUUAUCACAUGAAUAUUUUAUAAUUAUUCUCCUUGCUGGACAUAUGUUUUAUAAUUGUUGCUGCUGAAAAUAUGGCCACUAUGCAUAUUCUUAUUUGUUUCUUGGCACCUAGUACCAAAGACAUAUCUAAGACCUAUGAGACUAGGUCAGGGCAUAUGUGUAUUUUCAGCUUUACUAGAUAAUUCCAUGAUUUUGUAUGAAUUUACUCUCCCAAGAGCAGUAUUUAAGAGUUUCUAUUGAUUCUCAUUCUUACCAACUUUUGUUACUCAUUUAAAAAAGAAAAAGUUGUGAGCUUAUGUGAGAGAGUAUCCCAUUGUGGUUUCAGUUUUCAGGUCCAUGAUUGGUAAUGAGUUUGAGCAGCUUUUAAUGCUUAUUGACUAUAUUUUUUUCCUUCUGUGGGAAAUAUUUGAGCUAUAUGUUUUGCCCUUUAUUUGGAGAUUGUUUUUCAUUUUUAAUGUUUGUAGAAUUUCUUUAUAUGUUCUGGACAUGAAACUUUUGGUAGGGGUUGUGUUGUAAAUAUAGUCUCCUAGGUUGCAUAUGUACAACUUUGUUUCCUUUGAGAAUCAGAAAGUCUUAAUCUUAUUAUACCUAAAUUUUUGGAUUUUUUCUUUUGUGGUUUACAUUUUUGCUGAAGGAAUCCUUCUCUUUCUUGAAAAGAUAAAGGUAAUGUUCUUUACUUUUUCAAAAAUUUUACCUUUUAAAGUAUUUAAUCCAUUAUGUACAUCUCAUUCAAGAAAUGU